rnacentral:lncRNA from 1 species
AGUCUAUUCUCUCUGAAGCCUGUUGCUUGACAGCUUUAUCUGCAUGAAAAAACCUUGGUAUUAGCCACCCCUUAUGCUAACCCAGACAUUCUUGUCUAUUAAUUCUAUGUCUUAGACAAUAAUAUAACUCAACCAAUUGUCAAUAGAAAAUCCUUGAAAUAGCCUAUGACCUGAAAGUCCCUACUCCCAGUUGUCCUGCCUAUCCAGACCAAGUCAAUGUAAAACUUACAUAUAUUGAUUGAUGUCUAAUGUCUCUCUAAAUUGCAUUAAAACUAAGUUGUAGCCUGAGCACCAUGAUGAUAUGUUCUUAGGAUCUCCAGAGGGAUAUGUAACAGGCCAUUACUGGCUCAUAUUUGGCUCAGAAUAAAACUCUUCAAAUAUUUUAAAGUGUUUGACUCUUUUCAUCAAUAACAACUUGACACGUGAACAUCUGGUGCCUCAGACAAAACUCAGGACACCGUAAAACUUGCCUGAACGUGAAGCUAAGUAGCAACAGAGGCUCACUGAAUGUCUCUCCAAUUUUGAGCUUCUUCUUCAGUGGAACUGAUCUCAGAGAAAGAAGCACCAAGUCCUCGGGGGCAAGAAGUGAAGGCUACACAUUGAAGAAGUGGUAUGUUAUGUGACUUGAGACUUGAAGAAAUACAAGAUUGACAAGUGGACAAAUAGAGCACACUAUGGAUAAAUAAAACUGCAUAUCCUCCAC